GUACCGGAUGGAAGUUAUGCCGCUGUGUUCCAUUGUUGCAAACCCAAGGAGAGCGAACUGUCAGGGAUGCGAACGGUAC
rfam:Planktothrix tepida PCC 9214 isolate BBR_PRJEB10993 genome assembly, scaffold: BBR_B_PL9214_scaffold57